AGCUCCAAUAGCGUAUAUUAAAAUUGUUGCGGUUAAAAAGCUCGUAGUUGGAUUUCUGCCGAGGACGACCGGUCCGCCCUCUGGGUGAGUAUCUGGCUUGGCCUGGGCAUCUUCUUGGAGAACGUAGCUGCACUUGACUGUGUGGUGCGGUAUCCAGGAUGAGGAAAUCAGAGUGUUUCAAGCAGGCAUGCGCCUUGAAUACAUUAGCAUGGAAUAAUAAGAUAGGACCUCGGUUCUAUUUUGUUGGUUUCUAGAGCUGAGGUAAUGAUUAAUAGGGAUAGUUGGGGGCAUUCGUAUUUAACUGUCAGAGGUGAAAUUCUUGGAUUUGUUAAAGACAGACUACUGCGAGAGCAUUUGCCAAGGAUGUUUUCA
rnacentral:rRNA from 1 species